UACGUAGGGUGCAAGCGUUGCCCGGAUUUAUUGGGCGUAAAGGGCGCGCAGGCGGCUACGCACGUCCGUUGUGAAAUCGCUCGGCUCAACUGGGCGGGGGUCAGCGGAUACGGCGUAGCUGGAGCAAGCUAGGGGGCAAUGGAAUUCCCGGUGUAGUGGUGGAAUGCGUAGAUAUCGGGAGGAACACCAGUGGCGAAGGCGGUUGCCUGGAGCUUUGCUGACGCUGAGGCGCGAAAGCGUGGGGAGCGAUCCGG
rnacentral:rRNA from 1 species